rnacentral:rRNA from 1 species
UACGGGGGGAGCAAGCGUUGUUCGGAUUUACUGGGCGUAAAGGGCGCGUAGGCGGCACCGCAAGUCGACUGUGAAAUCUCCGGGCUUAACUCGGAAAGGUCAGCCGAUACUGCGGGGCUAGAGUGCAGAAGGGGCAACUGGAAUUCUCGGUGUAGCGGUGAAAUGCGUAGAUAUCGAGAGGAACACCUGCGGCGAAGGCGGGUUGCUGGGCUGGCACUGACGCUGAUGCGCGAAAGCUAGGGGAGCGAACGGG